GGGAAGAAAAGAGACAUCCGGGGUGGGGGCCGGGCCAUGCCUGGCUGUUUGGGCAGACACAGCCUCCCGUAACCGGCCCUCCAUAGAAUUUUGGAAACCCAGUGUGGCCCUCAGGCCAAAAAGUUUGCCCGCCCGUGCACUAAACUACAUUC